GAUGAACGCUAGCGGCAGGCUUAACACAUGCCAGUCGAGGGGCAGCGCGGGAUAGCAAUAUCCUGGCGGCGACCGGCGGAAGGGUGCGUAACGCGUGAGCGACAUGCCCGUUGCCCGGGGACAACCGGUGGAAACGCCGACUAAUCCCCGAUGGGAUAUUGUGCCGCAUGGCACGAUAUUGAAAGUUACGGCGGCGACGGAUUGGCUCGCGUCCGAUUAGCUUGUUGGCGGGGUAACGGCCCACCAAGGCUGCGAUCGGUAGGGGUUCUGAGAGGAAGGCCCCCCACAAUGGGACUGAGACACGGCCCAUACUCCGACGGGAGGCAGCAGUGAGGAAUAUAGGUCAAUGGGCGGAAGCCUGAACCAGCCAUGUCGCGUGCGGGAAGGAGGCCCUAUGGGCUGUGAACCGCUUUUGCCUGGGGGCAAUAAGGGCGUCGCGCACGUCCGAUGAGAGUACCAGGAGAAUAAGCAUCGGCUAACUCCGUG
rnacentral:rRNA from 1 species